AAAGCGUGCGCAGGCGGUAAUGUAAGACAGAUGUGAAAUCCCCGGGCUCAACCUGGGAACUGCAUUUGUGACUGCAUUGCUGGAGUGCGGCAGAGGGGGAUGGAAUUCCGCGUGUAGCAGUGAAAUGCGUAGAUAUGCGGAGGAACACCGAUGGCGAAGGCAAUCCCCUGGGCCUGCACUGACGCUCAUGCACGAAAGCGUGGGGAGCAAACAGGAUUAGAUACCCCAGU
rnacentral:rRNA from 1 species